AGAAGCUUGCAAACUAGAUGAAUAAGUUUUGGCACAUGCUUGAGAUGUCUACUCUCAUAACCAUGAAGCAGAUGCCGCUGACGGAUCAGGGAGCAAUGGUGGCUACUGCAGAGAAGGACAUAGGCAAAGAAACAAGUCUGGAAAGGGAACAGAAUUAAUUCCAUCUUGAAAUAUCUUCAAAAAGUGACAAAGAUCAAAGUUGCAGACUGAGAGAG